GUGGGAAGUUAACUUUGUCUUUGUUCAGGGCACAUAGCAUCACAGCCUCUUCAACACUCACCAUGAAGGAGGCAUUGGUCAGAAAGCCCACACACACUGACACCGUACACUGACUAAGACGUAUGAGAAAGAGACAAAGAGCGAGAGGUGACGUCAUCCUCUGCGGCAUUCUGAAUGAACAAGCUGGACAACAACUGUGUUUUGUCCCUCGAGCCAGCGUCAGCACAGCCCCCGGCCGCUUAUCACAUUACUUCUCCCACAGCAAAACAUGAAUCUUCAUUGAGGGAAAUAAAUAAGAGGCCAGCUACAUAAAAACAGACUGAGUCUGCAUCUGUAACGAGAUUUGUCACUCUCUCUUCCCCCUAUUACAGCUGCUGAUGUGA